GUGCGAGUACUAGGUUUAUCAGUCAUAUCGUCUUAUCAGAUUGCUUUCGCUUUUUGUGCCUAUCAGAUUAGAUCAACUGAAAUACUGAUUAUCCUCUCUUUCUUUUCAGUCUUUGCCCGUUACCGUUGAUGUGGGUACACACAAUAAGAAUUUGUUGAACGAUGAAUUUUACAUUGGGCUAAGGCAAAGAAGAGCUACAGGGCAGGUUCACAGAUUUUUAUGCCUGAUCAUGCUUACUUUAUCAUACUUUUUGUAGAAGAUGUAAUAUUUCCUUAAUGUACUUUGUUUGAUCCUGUUUACCAUGUUCAGGAAUAUGCCGAACUUCCAGAUGAAUUUAUGUACGCCGUCAAGCAGAAUUAUGGGGAGAAAGUGCUCAUUCAGUUAGAUGUUUUCUGGCAAAAAUUGCAGAUAAGUGUACUUGAGAACUUUACUUGAUAAAAUAACUUUGAUUAUUCCGGAUUAAUUGGUUUAGGUAGAAUUUACAAUCCUGAAGUUCUAAUUUCUGGAAUAAAUUCCAUAACCUUUUCAUUUUUAUGUGUUUUUUUUGGUUAUAGGUUGCUUCUUCAAGCGUCUGAGAAUUAUGGAAGAGGUGAUUGGAGAAAUAUUUUUAGGUGUUAUGUGCUAAUGAGCAUUUGCUGCAGGACUUGUAACUUCAGCAAUUUGUAUGUCCCAUACUUGUUCAUGGCCAAGUAACUUCGAUAGAACGUAGAAUUACAACACUUUCUAGUGGUGGACUGUUUCUCUUCCCGUCCUUCCGGAUAUGGCUCCAAACUCAUAUCUAGUGCCUAACUCGUCUGACUGGGGACUGUCGAAAAGUAAUGGCGUCCUUGCCUAAAGUAAUAUUUCUCCAGCCUCCUCUCCCGUAUUUCUCGGAUAGGUUGCUUCUUCUAGCAUCAGACAAAUAUAGAGAGUUGAUUGGAGAUUUUUUUUUUUACGUGUUAUGUGCUAAUGAGCAUUUUCUGCAGGUCUUGUCACUUCAGCUAUUGGUAUGUCCCAUACUUGUUCAUGGCCAAGUAGCUUUGGGAGAACGUGGAAUUACAACACUUUCUAGUGGUGGUCUGUUUUUCUUGCUCCAGUCGAAAAGUGACGGCGUCCAUACCUAAAUUAAUGUUUCUCCAAUCUCCUCGCCCAUAUUUCUCGGGACUUGUCACUUCAGCAAUUGGCUUGUCCCAUACUUAAUCUUGGCUAAGUAACUUCGAUGGAAAGUAAAAUUACAACAGUUUCUAGUGGUGGACUGUUUCUCUUCCUGGCCUUGCGGAUAUGGCUCCAAACUCCUAUCCAAGACUGUGGAACAGUGAUGACGUCCAUAUCUAAAGUAAUAUUUCUCCAAUCACAUGUGCCAUAUUUCUCGUAGCAUCAUGGAGAGGUGAUUGGAGAAAUAUUUUUAGGUGUUAUGUCCUGAUGAGCUAAUGCUAACCGGUGAUUGGAGAAAUAUUAUUAGGUGUUAUGUGCUGCUGAGCUAAUGCUAACAAUUGGUAUGUCCAUACCUGUUCAUGGCGAAGUUGCUUCUAUAUGUCGUGCAAUUGCCACACUUUUUAGUUGUAGAGUAUUUAUUUACGCAUCCUUCCGGUUCACCGUCGUUGCUGAAAAGAAGACCAAGAAGACUCAUGAGAGCAUUAACGAUAGGCUCACUCUUGUUAUGAAGAGCGGUAAAUAUACAUAGGGAUACAAAACUGUGCUCAAGACCAUUAGACGCUCCAAAGUCUUUACCCGUUACCGUUGAUGUGGGUACAAACAAUAAGAAUUUGUUGAACGAUGAAUUUUACAUUGAGGUAAGGCAAAGAAGAGCUACAGGACAGGUUCACAGAUUUUUAUGCCUGAUCAUGCUUACUUUAUCAUACUUUUUGUAGAGGAUGUAAUAUUUCCUUAAUGUACUUUGUUUGAUCCUGUUUUCCAUGUUCAGGAAUAUGCCGAACUUUUAGAUGAAUUUAUGUACGCCGUCAAGCAGAAUUAUGGGGAGAAAGUGCUCAUUCAGGUAGAUGUUUCUGGCAAAAAUUGCAGAUAAGUGUACUUGAGAAUUUUACUUGGUAAUCUAAGUUUGAAUAUUUCGGAUUAAUUGGUUUAGGUAGAAUUUACGAUCCUGAAGUUCUAAUUUCUGGAAUAAAUUCAAUAACUUUUUUGUUUUUAUGUGUUUUUUUGGUUAUAGGUUGCUUCUUCAAGCGUCCGAGAAUUAUAGAAGUGGUGAUUGAAGAAAUAUUUUUAGGUGUUAUGUGCUAAUGAGCAUUUGCUGCAGGACUUGUAACUUCAGCAAUUUGUAUGUCCCAUACUUGUUCAUGGCCAAGUAACUUCGAUAGAACGUGGAAUUGUAACACUUUCUAGUGGUGGACUGUUUCUCUUCCCAUCCUUCCGGAUAUGGCUCCAAACUCAUAUCCAGUGCCUUACUCGUCUGACUGGAGACUGUCGAAAAGUAACGGCGUCCAUGCCUAAAGUAAUAUUUCUCCAGUCUCCUCUCCCGUAGUUCUCGUAUAGGUUGCUUCUUCUAGCAUCAGACAAUUAUGGAGAGGCGAUUGAGAACUAUUUUUAUGUGUUAUGUGCUAAUGAGCAUUUGCUGCAGGACUUGUCACUUCAGCUAUUGGUAUGUCCCAUACUUGUUCAUGGCCAAGUAGCUUCGACAGAACGUGGAAUUACGACACUUUCCAGUGGUGGACUGUUUCUCUUGCUCCAGUCGAAAAGUAACGGCGUCCAUACCUAAAGUAUUAUUUCUCCAAUCUCCUCGUCCAUAUUUAUCGAGUAGGUUGCUUCGAGCAUCAGAUAAAUAUGGAGAGGUGAUUGGAGAAAUAUUUUUAGGUGUUAUGUUCUUAUAAGCAUUUGCUACAGGACUUGUCACUUCAGCAAUUGGCAUGUCCCAUACUUGUUCUUGGCCACGUAACUUCGAUGGAAGGUGGAAUGACAACACUUUCUAGUGUGGAAUAUUUCCCAACCUGUCCGUGAUUUUGCUCCAAACUCCUAUCCAAGACACUGGAACAAUGAUGACGUCCAUAUCUAAAGUAAUAUUUCUCCAAUCACCUUUGCCAUAUUUCUUGGAUAGGUUCCUUCUUGUAGCAUCAGAGAAAUAUGGAGAGGUGAUUGGAGAAAUAUUUUUAGGUGUUAUGUGCUGAUGAGCUAAUGCAAACCGGUGAUUGGAGAAAUAUUUUUAGGUGUUAUGUGCUAAAGAGCUAAUGCUAACAAUCGGUAUGACCAUACCUGUUCAUGGACAAAUUGCUUCUAUAUGUCGUGCAAUUGCCACACUUUUUCAUUGUAGAGUUUCUUUUCGCAUCCUUCCGGUCCACUCUGUGUUAGAACCUGUAUUUUUGUACAGUGGAAUAAUCUGGAUUUAUUACGAUAAGUUAAGGACAAAACUAAGUCGGGAUUCUUGACCUUCGAUUUUAUUUUGAGAUAUAAGUUGUGCAUGAAUUUAUUGGUAUGGAACAAUUAGGAAAAUUCGGGACCAAAAGUGAUAAAAAU